rnacentral:misc_RNA from 1 species
UUUCCGUAGGUGAACCUGCGGAAGGAUCAUUAAUGUAACCGGACCUUACCGGUGCCGUAAGAAGCAUCGGUUUGUAAAGGGAGAUAUCAUACACCCUGCGUUUAUUUACCUUUCUUGCUUUGGCGGGCCGACCUUUCAGGCGUCGGCCCCGGCUGAUCGCGCCCGCCAGAGGACCCAAACUCUUUUAUCAGUGAUGUCUGAGUACUAUAUAAUAGUUAAAACUUACAACAACGGAUCUCUUGGUUCUG